UACGUAGGGAGCGAGCGUUAUCCGGAAUUAUUGGGCGUAAAGGGUGCGUAGAUGGCACAUUAAGUUUCUUGUAAAAAUGCUGGGCUCAACCCAGUAGCGCAAGGGAUACUGAUGAGCUAGAAUACAGGAGAGGCAAGUGGAAUUCCAUGUGUAGCGGUAAAAUGCGUAAAUAUAUGGCAGAGCACCAGUGGCGAAGGCGGCUUGCUAGUCUGAUAUUGACAUUGAGGCACGAAAGCGUGGGGAGC
rnacentral:rRNA from 1 species